UGUAACGGAAAGAUUUUCUUUUUCUUUUAAAAUUUAUAUAAUAAAAUUAAACAUAUUCAAUGAAAAUCUAACUAUUUGUGAAAAAGGAAAUAAAUUUUACGGGAAAACAAAGCCUAGAUAUAAUAAAUAAACAGUUAAACAAGAUUUAAGAAAUAAAGUAAUGACUAAGGGAAAAAUAGAAUUAUUCGCAAGGAUAAUAUAAAAUCUUAACUCUUCUAAGUAAAACACAAUCAUACAGAUUAUCAUUCUCUUGUUGAUAUUACCUCUAAUCCAGCCCAGAUAAAAGUAGUGGAUUUGAACCAUGGCGAGGGCUAUUCACAACUGAAAUUGAAUGAAGUUAAACUAAUCGAAAGAUUUAGAAUAACAUACUUAGUAAAUACAACAAUGUACAAAGGUCACGUACCUAAAUAAUUUGGAAAAAUUAAUUUUGGAAAAAACCAAAUCCUUUACUAAUUGCUAAACUCAAAACUAUCAGUAUUCAAAUUGGUACUUUAACUCCACAUCAAUAAAUUAUUAAAAAGUUUAAUAUAUAUUGAAACGUAAUUAGAAUAAAGAAAAUAGUAAUGACUAGCCAAACAGUUUGUUAAGUAUAGAUAUUAUUGCAGAUGAAUAUAUAACUAACUUUAAUGUGACUUUCGAACAACUAAAAGAAAUAAAAAUUAUAAUUGCUGCUAAUUAGUAAAAUUACCUCAAUUUGAAAAAACAUGUAUCAAAAAAUUCAUUCCACCACCAAUACCAAAAUGCAAGACAAAUGGAAAUUUGUAUUAAAUAAAACGAAAUAUUGUCCAUUGAUGAAAUGACUUAUAAGAAGACUAAAUUUAAAGAAGUUUUACGAAAAUAUGAAGAUAAUUGUAUUGCAAAUAUGUUUAAAGGAAAAAUGCACUGCAACUAUGUAAAAAACAAUAAAACCAAAGCUAUUGAACUAGAUACGAAUCAUAUAUUAUAUAAGUACGUUCAAGUAUAGCGUGACUCACACAUCUAACCGGAUGCGUGCAUUGCCAAUGAUGGUACCAUCUAAUCAUAAAGUCAAAAUCUAAGAAAUGUCACAUACAUCAAAUUAAAGGAAAAAUCUUCUAUUUAAUUUUUGGAAACUUAAAAAUAGUAAUAAAUUAAUUCCACGCGCAAAACUUAGCAAUAUAAGACGCAACAUACAAAACUCGUUCCACAUAAUUAACCGGAAAAUCCUAAUAAAUAAGCUUUUACAAGGAACGGUAUUUUGAGCGUUGUGGAAUUUCAGCUGAACAAAUAUUGAAUGUACUUUUCUGCAUAUUAGUACUUAUCGGCAAGUCUAUGGGCAAGCAACUAGGAUAAUAUGACGCCCCCACGCACUCAUACUUGUACCGAAAUUCAAAUGCUAAUUAUUCCGUUACGGGAAGAAGGAAAACCAUUAAAGAUAUUUCGGAAAUUGUGAAGAGGAGUACUUCAACCGUCUUCGAUAUUAUAAAAAGUAUGAAAAGGAAAAUAGGAUUAAUAAUAUUAGUAGAGCUGGUCAAGGAACGAAGCUAACACAAGCCGAAGAAAAGUUCGUAGUCAAAAUUGUUGAAAAAAACCCCUUUUUCUCGACGGAAAAUGUAAAAAAUAUAUUGGAAAAUGAAAAAGGGAAGAAGGUUUCAGCUGAAACAGUUCGUCGUACCUUUAGAAGCUUCGAUUUACACGGUAGAGCAGUUAUAAAAAGCCGUACAUACCCGAAAAAAAAUAGAAAGAAAAAGCUAGAAUUUGCGAAAUUGCAUUUAAAAAAGCCUGAAGAAUUCUGGCAAAGGGUUCUUUUCACAGCCGAAAGCAAGUUUAACUGAUGGACGCAGUUUUGUAUGGCCAAAACAUACUAGGGCAACUCUUAAGCACGGUGGUGCAUAUGGGUCGGUAAUGGUUUGGAGAUGUAUAUCGGCUAAAAGACCGGGCAACCUCCAUUUUGUGCAAGGUAUUAUGAAUCGUUUCCAAUAUGUUGACAUAUUAAAGGAAAGUGUAUAUAAUCAAUGCUACAAACGAAAUUGUUUAUCACAAUUGUAAUUCAAACAACCUUAACAUAGAUGGAAAUUAUUAAAUUAUGUUUGAAAAUUCGAUGUUAAAGUAAUGGAAACCUUUUACAAAUAUAAAAAUUAAUAGCCUUAGUAUCAUUAGUCGUCACUAUUAUAAUAAUUUGGAAAUUCAAGAAGAAUAGGAAAAACAAGGUGGAAGUAAAUAUUAAACAAGAAAAAAUGUUAACUUUGCUUGGACCGAAGCUAUAGUACCCUCCAUAAAUACAAAAUGUUCCUUAGAAGAAAUUUAUUCCAAUCGUUCAGUUUGUAUGACAGUUAUGUAUAUGCUAUAGUGAUUUGAUCUGAAUCUUCUUUCUUCGGAAAUUGCAUUACUGCCUUAGAUAAUCCAUUCUAAAUGUCGUGAACAUUACAGCUUGUUGGUGAGAAAACAUCAGGUGCAAAAUUUCAGAUCGAUAUCUCAAAAACUGAGGGACUACAUCGCAUAUAUACAGACAGACGGACACUCAGCUCAGUAUGCUGAUCAUUUAUAUAUAUAUUUUAUAGAGUCUCCGACGUUUCCUUCUGAGUGUUACAAACUUCAUGGCUAACUUAAUAUACCCUGUUCAGGGCAUAACAAGUUCUUACACAACCUGUUAAACAACCAAUUGACAUCGCUGAUUUAAAUGAAAGGGUAAAUUACUACUCAUCUUUGAAUCGAGACGAUUCAUUUAACAAAGGGGGGAGUUAUGAAUGAUACAACUUUCCUACCAAAAACUGUUGACACCAUUAAUAUUUGAGGCACCUGCACUGCAAUAUCUAGCUACGGUGGUUUUUGCCUUGUGUGCUGGAGCAGAAUCUCCCUGGCCUUCUCCAAGCCUCUCCAGGGAAGAGCUUUGAAAAUUUGUUCAUCUGUGUAAAGGAUACAACCAUAACGUUGAGCGUGUGUCACUGAAGAAGCCGCUUGCAUCUGUUGAGCCUAACUUGCUUUAAGCGGGUUUUAAGAAAAUUACCAGUUGACUGACGGGGAUUUCUGCGAAUGCGUUCGCGAACAGUAUUUAUGCUGAAUUGGUUCGAACGACGCGAGAACGAAAACCUUACUUCCAGUCAUCAACUGUGGACAUUCUCGAAAUUAAGUUUUUUGGACCUAUACCGAGGAUAUUAGGGGUAGAUCACCUCCACAAAAUCAAACUUACCCAACUUUUAAUGACUUAUUCAUAUAUAAAAUUGUUAUCUCAACGAGUAAUUGACAAUUGAGAUUGUUUCACAAUUGGACUCUACUCACCGCGCAAAGUACAAGUGAAAUCAUUACCGCGCCCAUACGUAAUGAUAUGGAUUCCUGAAUGCCUUGAGCGCGCUUAUCCCAACAGGUGCACUGGGCCAACACCCACGCUGAAGUCAUGAGGAAUUCUAAAAAGCAACCACCGAGAAUAGAGGUCUGUGGUGACAAAUCAGUUACACAAUAGAGAUCUGAUCUCGUCAUUGCCGGUGUUGUGUAAUAAGCCAGUACCAAACCGAGCAUCGUACCUAAGUAUUGCAUAAUCACAUAAAAAAUGGCCAAAUCCCACUUCAGUUGUCCCAUAAUGACGCCGGCAACUGUUAAACAUGGAUUCAUGUAGGCGCCAGAUACACAACCGAAUGUCUGUAUGAUUAUCAUCAAUGCGCAGCCGUCACAGAGACCAUACGACAUUACGCCACCUUCGGCUACUAACGGAUCAAAGCCAUAACAAUGUAACUGCAUCCACAUCGAAGCGGCACAGAAUUCACCAAAAAUUUGUACGAAGAAAAGCUUGUUGAACUUCAUUUGAUGGACGAGGAAUACACUUUGCAAAAAAUCAAGUUAUACAAAAAACUUGUAGGUUUUUAUUACAUCGAGAUAAUGAACAAUAAAAGAAUAUAGAAUUUAUGAA